AUUGAACGCUGGCGGCAGGCCUAACACAUGCAAGUCGAGCGGAUGAGGGAAGCUUGCUUCCCGAUUUAGCGGCGGACGGGUGAGUAAUGCCUAGGAAUCUGCCUGUUAGUGGGGGAUAACGUUCCGAAAGGAACGCUAAUACCGCAUACGUCCUACGGGAGAAAGUGGGGGAUCUUCGGACCUCACGCUAACAGAUGAGCCUAGGUCGGAUUAGCUAGUAGGUGAGGUAAUGGCUCACCUAGGCUACGAUCCGUAACUGGUCUGAGAGGAUGAUCAGUCACACUGGAACUGAGACACGGUCCAGACUCCUACGGGAGGCAGCAGUGGGGAAUAUUGGACAAUGGGCGAAAGCCUGAUCCAGCCAUGCCGCGUGUGUGAAGAAGGUCUUCGGAUUGUAAAGCACUUUAAGCCGGGAGGAAGGGCUGUAGGCGAAUACCCUGCAGUCUUGACGUUACCGGCAGAAUAAGCACCGGCUAACUUCGUGCCAGCAGCCGCAGUAAAAC
rnacentral:rRNA from 1 species